rnacentral:rRNA from 1 species
GACGAACGCUGGCGGCGUGCUUAACACAUGCAAGUCGGACGGAAAGGCCCUGCUUUUGUGGGGUGCUCGAGUGGCGAACGGGUGAGUAACACGUGAGUAACCUGCCCUUGACUUUGGGAUAACUUCAGGAAACUGGGGCUAAUACCGGAUAGGAGCUCCUGCUGCAUGGUGGGGGUUGGAAAGUUUCGGCGGUUGGGGAUGGACUCGCGGCUUAUCAGCUUGUUGGUGGGGUAGUGGCAUACCAAGGCUUUGACGGGUAGCCGGCCUGAGAGGGUGACCGGCCACAUUGGGACUGAGAUACGGCCCAGACUCCUACGGGAGGCAGCAGUGGGGAAUAUUGCACAAUGAGCGGAAGCCUGUUGCGGCAACGCCGCGUGCGGGAUGACGGCCUUCGGGUUGUAAAACGCUUUCGCCUGUGACGAAGCGGGAGUGACGGUAAUGGGUAAAGAAGCACCGGCUAACUACGUG